rnacentral:lncRNA from 1 species
AAGGGUGCCACCAGACUGGCACGACCCUUUGUUUCUCUGGGUUCAGCCCAUUGCAUGUGUCCAGCAGGUGCUGUCUCCCCCUUGGACUGCUAGCUCUCCCCUGGCAUAGGCUCUGGACCAAUGUGUUCUCUCUUCCCACCCUUCUCCCUGCCCUGGACCCUCUAGUCUGAUCUAAUCAGCAAGCUCCUAUUCAUCCUUCAAAACCCAGGUGUCACUUGCUCUACUCUGUUAUCUCUAUAUCUUGUCUCUAAUACGCAGUAUUAGUUACUCCAUUAAGGAGCUCUAUUAAGCAGCUACCACUCAGAACUGUAAUGAUCUGCUUAUGUGUCUGACUUCUCCAUGCAACUCUGAGCAGCUCAAAGUCCCGGCUUACGGCAGGUGCUCAACUAGCCACAGAGCAUCUGCCAGCCUUUUCAGUGGAAGAAACAGAAAGGCCACAGGAUUCGCUGAUUCUUUUUUUCAAACUAAGGAAAAAAAAAAACAAAACAAAACAAAAGGAAGGCUGUUUUUCUUGCCUCUCUUACUGACAGGAAUAAACAUUUCAGAGCAGGAGAGUCAGAAAGUGGCUGUCUUGACAGCCCUGUGUUCAAAUGCUCAGCGCAGGACGAGCCAGAUGACCUCCCGAUUCCACGACUUCCUGGCACGAGAAAACUGAUCCGCCCUCUGCGAGCCCAGUCAGCCCAUUCUCACCAACUGGAG